AUGAGAUUUCCCAUGAUUUUAUAUCAGUAAGAGCCCUGAGAGAUGAUCAGGUAGAUAGGUUAGAAGUGGAAGUGUGGUGACACAUGUAGCGGACUAAUACUAAUAGCUCGAGGACUUAUCCAA
rnacentral:rRNA from 1 species